rnacentral:rRNA from 1 species
GUCUUUAAAAUUAACAAAAUUUGGCGGUAUUUUAGUCUGUUCAGUGGAAUCUGUUCUUUAAUUGAUAAUCCACGAUAAUUUGUACUUUGACUUUAAAUUUGCAUAUCGUCGUUAUUAAAAAUUUUAGGAUAUAAUUUUUUCAGAUCAAGGUGUAGUUUAUGUUUAAGCUAGAAUGGGUUACAUUAAAAAAUGUUGAUAAAAUGGAUUUGAGAGUAAGCUCUAAAAUAUGCACAUAUCGCCCGUCGCUUUCACUUUAAGGUGGAAUAAGUCGUAACAGAGUAGGCUUAUUGGAAAAUGAGCCUGGAAUGCAAAUUAGAGCUUGAUAAGCAUUUUAUUUACAUUAAAAGGUUAAUUGUGAAAUUCAAUUUAAUUUGAACUUUAAAGAUUAUUAAUUUUUUUUUAUUUAUUUUUUUAGUGGAAAAAUGUUUUGUUUUAUUAUUUAUUUGAACUAAUUUUAUUAUAGUUGAUUGUAUUGUGAAAGAGUUUUUUUAAGUGUUUGGAAGAAAGUUUUAUUUGUUGUACCUUGUGUGUCAGGGUUUAUUUAUUAGGAUUUCCCGAAUUCAGAAGAGCUAGUUUUACUGUUGAAUAAGUAUUUUUAAUUUUUUUUUAGUAAUGAAACGUUAUUCGUUUCUGAAUAUAUCUGGUUUUUUAAGAAAUUAAUUUAAUUUAGUUAGCUUGAAUAAAUUUAUUAAGGGAUAAGCUUUUAGAUUUAUUACUAAAAUUUAUUUUUGAUAGCAAUUUGUAGGAUUAGAAUUUUCCAUUUUUUAGAGGAUGUUAUAAUUAAUGUUUUUAGUUUUUUUAUUAAAAUUUUAUUUUUAAUUUUUUGUUAAGUAAUUUUGGUGAAAUUAGUAAGGUUAAUUUAAGGAACUCGGCAAUGUAAAUUUUCACCUGUUUAUUAAAAACAUGUCCUUUUGUUUAUGAUUUAAGGUCUGGCCUGCCCAAUGAUUGAAUGGCCGCAGUAUUUUGACUGUGCAAAGGUAGCAUAAUCAUUAGUUUCCUAAUUAGAAGCUGGAAUGAAUGGUUUGAUGAAAAAUUGACUGUCUCUUGAAUUUUAUUUUUAAGUGAGAAAGCUUAAAUGUUUUAUAAAGACGAGAAGACCCUAUAGAGUUU